rnacentral:rRNA from 1 species
GAUGAACGCUAGCGAUAGGCUUAACACAUGCAAGUCGAGGGGCAGCAUGGUCUUAGCUUGCUAAGACUGAUGGCGACCGGCGCACGGGUGCGUAACGCGUAUGCAACUUGCCUCACAGAGGGGGAUAACCCGUCGAAAGACGGACUAAUACCGCGUUCACUCUAUUUUGGGCAUCCAAGGUAGAGGAAAUGAAAUUCGCUGUGAGAUAGGCAUGCGUCCCAUUAGCUAGUUGGUGAGGUAACGGCUCACCAAGGCGACGAUGGGUAGGGGAACUGAGAGGUUGAACCCCCACACUGGUACUGAGACACGGACCAGACUCCUACGGGAGGCAGCAGUGAGGAAUAUUGGGCAAUGGGCGAGGGCCUGAACCAGCCAAGUCGCGUGAAGGAUGACUGUCUUAUGGAUUGUAAACUUCUUUUGUAGGGGAAUAAAGAGGGGCACGUGUGCCCCAGUGAAUGUACCCUACGAAUAAGCAUCGGCUAACUCCGUG